UGGAAUCCAAUGAGUGUACACUAAAGAGC
rnacentral:piRNA from 1 species